CCUGCCCCUGAAGGCGUUGCAGGUGUGGCUGCUAUGUCAUGUGUGUGUCCGUAGGUGGCAGAGAAGAGAGAGGCCAUGUCUACACUCAGUGUUCAGGCCUAUGAACAUCUGAGUGAUUAUAGCCUAAUAUU